CGGGCGCCCAGCGCCAUUCGGAACGAGGGCCAUACUUGUAGAGCACCGAAGGGAUCGGCGCGCUGAUCCAUACCGGACUUGGUCCGGCAAAGCGGAUGCUUCGCGUCACCACUCAGGCCGACAGUCUGGAAAGUCUAUCCUCUUACAACUAACACAAGGGUAUGGACUAGGGACACUACCUGCGGGCAUUCUUCGACCAGCCACGAACAACAUGACCAUACUUGAUCAGAAUAAAGGGGAUGGGGACCAUGGCCAAGGCAAUGAAGCCCAAGACGGUGGUGGCCCAGCGGGAAUUCAGGCGAUCGUACAUCUGCUCGCCAAACAUGGGGAAGCCAGCGCCGAACGCCGACCGAAAGACGGUGUUGAUAGCAAUUGCACUAGCCGAGCUGAAGAUGUACACCUCGGUGAUAUACGUGAAUAGACUCAGGAAGAUGAAAAAGAGGCCCGAGCCGAACAUGCCACCGGCCACCAGAGGACUCCAGAACGAAAUCCAGUCGUACGACGUCCAAGCAAACCAGAACAGCGACACGGUGAGCAGCACCGAGCCCAGCAUACAGGGGCGCAGGCGCACCUCGGGUGCCAGGGGCUUGCCGCCAUUCUUGGCCAUCCCCUUCACAUACAUCCGCUGGUCCACCGUGAUACAGUAGAGGCCCGACAGGAGACAGCCGACGAAGAAGCCCAGGAACGUCAGGCCCGUCGAGCCAGGCGGCAGGCGGUGUCCGAGCUCAAACACGUACGGAUAGGCCACAAAGAGCAGGUAGAGCGUGCCGUACACGAACGAGAUAUAGAUCGUCGUCGCGAGAAGCAUAGGCUCCACGAUAAUCAUUUUGAUCGGCU
rnacentral:lncRNA from 1 species